GUAGUUUUGGUAUCAUUUGACCUUGGAACUUCUUUUCUGUUCAUUGUAGGAUUUCAUUUUCCGAUCAUGUUGCUGUUAGGCAUUCUUUGGAGAUCAUCUCUGAAUUGGCCAUAAGAGACCCUUAGGCAAUAGCAAUGGCUUUAGGAAAGCUUGUUGCUCCAGGAGGGGCACUGCUGGAUGUUCUACAUUUGCAUGAUGUGCUUGCUAGAGUUUCUCUAGCCAUGUUGUGCCAUACAAUAUCUACAGCUCGUUCUUUAGAUGAGCGGCCUGACAUUAAAUCUCAGUUCAACUCUGUGCUCUAUUAACUCCUGCUGGUCCCCAGUGAAAGAGUCUGUUUUGAGGCAAUUCUCUGUAUAUUAGGUAAACGUGAUAACACUGAAAAGGCAGAAGAGCGUGCUGCAGGGUGGUACCGUUUAACCAGGGAGAUUCUGAAGUUACCAGAAGCACCAUCAAAUUCCAAAGACAAAUCUCAAAAGACAAGGCGCCCACAACCCCUCAUUGAACUUUUAAUGAGAAGGUUGGAGAGUUCUUUCCGUAGUUUCUCUAAACCGGUACUCCAUGCUGCUGCUAGAGUUGUCCAGGAGAUGGGGAGAAGUAGAGCUGCUGCACA